GAUGAACGCUGGCGGCGUGCCUAAUACAUGCAAGUCGAGCGAACAGAUGAGGAGCUUGCUCCUCUGACGUUAGCGGCGGACGGGUGAGUAACACGUGGAUAACCUACCUAUAAGACUGGGAUAACUUCGGGAAACCGGAGCUAAUACCGGAUAAUAUAUUGAACCGCAUGGUUCAAUAGUGAAAGACGGUUUUGCUGUCACUUAUAGAUGGAUCCGCGCCGCAUUAGCUAGUUGGUAAGGUAACGGCUUACCAAGGCAACGAUGCGUAGCCGACCUGAGAGGGUGAUCGGCCACACUGGAGCUGAGACACGGUCCAGACUCCUACGGGAGGCAGCAGUAGGGAAUCUUCCGCAAUGGGCGAAAGCCUGACGGAGCAACGCCGCGUGAGUGAUGAAGGUCUUCGGAUCGUAAAACUCUGUUAUUAGGGAAGAACAAAUGUGUAAGUAACUAUACACGUCUUGACGGUACCUAAUCAGAAAGCCACGGCUAACUACGUG
rnacentral:rRNA from 1 species